AUACGGAGGGUGCAAGCGUUACUCGGAAUCACUGGGCGUAAAGCGCGCGCAGGCGGUCUUUUAAGUUGGAUGUGAAAGCCUACAGCUCAACUGUAGAACUGCAUCCAAAACUAUUAGACUAGAGUCUGGGAGGGGAAGAUGGAAUUAGUUGUGUAGGGGUAAAAUCCGUAGAGAUAACUAGGAAUACCAAAAGCGAAGGCGAUCUUCUGGAACAGUACUGACGCUGAGGCGCGAAAGCGUGGGGAGCAAACAGCAUUAGAAACCCCAGUAGUCC
rnacentral:rRNA from 1 species